rnacentral:lncRNA from 1 species
GCACCAUUGUCGACCAAAAAUUGUCAACCACCACACCAUCGCUUGCAUAGCACCACAACUACUGUCAAAAACUGCAAACAUAACCAACAAAAAUCAGCCCAAAAAACUUUGGCACCACCAGAUCGAACUGUGCAGUCACAUCGCCACACCACACUUUUACCUCGAACAACACCACACCCCACCAUACCGCCCCAAAAACUUAGGUGCCACCAAAUCGAACUCACACAACCGCAUCGCCAAUUACAGCACACCACUACCUAGAUUCGCCACAACAUAUCACACCGUACCUAUCCAAUCCAACGUCGAUCUCGCCUUUGAGUCGUAACGCCACCGUUCACAACAGCAUUGGGCGGCAAAAGCUGAGCAGAGAAUAAGCACACUCACACUCGUCUCCAUCGUUGUCUUGAGCAAAGGAGACGCGGUGAUCACACCCCCAGGAAUCGUCGUGAUCUGUGUACCGAAGAACCCACAGAUCUGCACACAGAGGCGCUACGAUGGAGUUACGUGAAGAGACGUCUGCAUCGAUAUCAUGCCUCAACGCCAACGAUACCAUGUUGCUUGAGAAGAGAGAGAUGAACCGACGGCAGACGGUAUAGAGAGGGAAUGGUGAAAACGGAUGAAAAUCUAGGGUUUGGGGUGUUGAGGUGCAGUGGGUUAAUUAUAAUACUUAAUUUGUGAUUAAUUAAACUUUGCACCUGAUUAUUGAAAA